AAACUUCAGAAGAAUACAAGACAACUGUAAAAAUGAAUAAAAUGUGGAUCUUGUGCCUUGGGAUGCUGCUCAUGACUUUACCAUUUUCAGCUUCAUUGAAGAUGAAUAUUACAGGAGAUAAUCGAAGAAUGAGUAUAGCUCAAAAUCAAGUUGGUAAAUCCAACGCUGCAGGAUGGAGUCCUAUGUCCACCCCACUGUGUCUACUGAUACCAGCAGCCACGCUCCUCAUCCUCUACGGCAAAUCUUAAACUGGAUGAAGGAAGUUUGCCAUCAAUCCAGAAGACAGUGAUAACGAGAACGGUUUUGAAAUUCUACAAAAGAAAGAAAAAAAUAUCUGAGCUCAUACUUUUUAAAAUAAGUAAUAAAAAUUGAAGUUGAGAGUUUAAAGAGUUUCAGGAAAUCUGCCAAGUGUCCUCCAGUGCAGAUAUUUGAUUAUUUCACUUUGUGUAAUAACAUUGUACACUGUAUAAUAUGAAUCUUGUCAGUUGUCAUCUUUCUUCUCUUACAAUAUUUUUUUAUAACAAACACUGAAUCAAUAUGUACAAUUAAAGCAGAUGAUUGUAUGUGUUUGCAUGUCACCUUUUAUUCAUCCUGGCAUUAACAUUUGUCUUUAUAAGUUUUACUAUGUGUUAAGGUUGUAAUGUUAAGAUCCAACGGAGGAGAAGAAGAUGUUUGUUGAAUGCUACAAAAAUUACAGUGUAACCAGUUUGUUUUAUCUUAGUGGUUAAAAACCUACAUAUGAAGUGCUAAAAAAUAAAAGUUUGAAACCAUA